UACGUAGGGGGCAAGCGUUGUCCGGAAUCAUUGGGCGUAAAGCGCGUGUAGGCGGCUCGAUAAGUCUGCUGUGAAAGUUCAGGGCUCAACCCUGAAAUGCCGGUGGAAACUGUCGAGCUAGAGUCCGGAAGAGGUGAGUGGAAUUCCUGGUGUAGCGGUGAAAUGCGCAGAUAUCAGGAGGAACACCAAUGGCGAAGGCAGCUCACUGGGACGGUACUGACGCUGAGACACGAAAGCGUGGGUAGCAAACAGG
rnacentral:rRNA from 1 species